AUAAACAACCUCAACAGCCUUAACCUUGUGCUAAGCCACAAAACUUAAGCAAGAGUGGCCGACUUAGGCAAAAGACUGUAAAUCUUUCAAUGGCUUAAAAGCCCAUUGCAAUAAACAACCUCAACAGCCUUAACCUUGUGCUAAGCCACAAAACUUAAGCAAGAGUGGCCGACUUAGGCAAAAGACUGUAAAUCUUUCAAUGGCUUAAAAGCCCAUUGCAAUAAACAACCUCAACAGCCUUAACCUUGUGUUAAGCCACAAAACUUAAGCAAGAGUAGCCGACCUAGGCAAAAGACUGUAAAUCUUUCAAUGGCUUAAAAGCCCAUUGCAGAAAGAGCUUUAAACUUAAACCGUAUGCUUUAAAGCAAAGCAGCACAUAAAUCAGUACCACCAAAAACCUUAACCUGUUAAAUACCGAAAGGGCCCACGAUUUUACAAAAAAGAUGGCAUAAAUAGCUUUACCUUUUGCAUCAUGUAGAUACAACAAAAAAUAGCUUAAAACUACCUCCCGAAAAGUGAAGAGCUAUUAUUUGCACACCUGCUAUAGUGUGUCACUACUAAAGCACAGCUAAUAAUAGAAGCGAAAUACCUUACGAGUCACUUUAUAGCUGGUUGUCCCUUAAAAGCAUAUAAGUGCCGCCUGACAGAAAAGUACGAAUAAUUCAGCUGUCAGAGAAAGUUUAGAAGGGAUAAGCCUUCUAAACCAAAUCAGAAAAACAACAAACAAAACCCUCAAAAGUAGGCUCAGAAACAGCCAGCAAAUUCCGUUAUAGGGCAUGAAGCCAAAUUACUCAAUAUCAACUAACACUUCUAAUCUUAAGGAACCCUAAAAAUAAACCAACAUUUUAACGAACCGGUAAUCUAUUAGUAUCUGAACCACUAAAAAGAGUACACGCAAAUAAAAGAACUCACCACAACAACAAAGUGGACCCGCCAGCCGCAGAUAAUGAACUCGGCAAAACUCUUUCCAGCCUGUUUACCAAAAACAUCGUCUUUUGACUAAAAACAUAAAAGAUACUGCCUGCCCAAUGACUUAACCGUUAAAUGGCCGCGUUAGCGUGAGCGUGCUAAGGUAGCGUAAUAAUUAGCUCUCUAAUUAGGAGCCAGUGAAUGGCAAAACGGGAAGGAACUCUAUCAUCUGCGAAAAGAAAACUUUUCGUCUAAGUGAAAAGACUUAGAUAAAAGAGAAAGACAAAAAGACCCCGCGGAACUUUCCUCAAAUGAGUAAGUUAAAACAUAAACCGAGCACUAUGAGGUUGGUUGGGGCAACCUUGGAACAAACACAACUUCCAAAUAACCUUACAAAUCAAUUCAAAAUUUACUGUAGACCAUAAAGCAGUUACCCCGGGGAUAACAGCGUAAUCCAGCUUGAGAGUACGCAUUGAAAGCUGGGUUUGCGACCUCGAUGUUGGCUUAGGGAAAGCAACUUGGCGCAGCCACUAAGUUUAUAAUGCCAGUCUGUUCGACUGCAAACCCCCUACACGAGCUGAGUUAAGACCGGCGAGAGCUAGGUUGGAUUCUAUCUUCUCUUAUUGAAGCACUCUUUAUUGUACGAAAGGACCCAAAGAGACACAAAAAUCGUGUAAACUAAAUACAUCACCAUUAAAAUACACUAUAAAAACACUG
rnacentral:rRNA from 1 species